rnacentral:rRNA from 1 species
AGAGUUUGAUCAUGGCUCAGAACGAACGCUGGCGGCGUGCCUAACACAUGCAAGUCGAGCGCGAAUGGAGCAAUCCUAGUAGAGCGGCGCACGGGUGCGUAACACGUGGAUAAUCUGCCUGGGUGUCUGGGAUAACCAGUCGAAAGAUUGGCUAAUACCGGAUAAGCCCCCGGGAGCUUCGGCUCUUGAGGGAAAAGGUGGCCUCUGUAUACAAGCUAUCACAUCCAGAUGAGUCCGCGGCCCAUCAGCUAGUUGGCGGGGUAAUGGCCCACCAAGGCAACGACGGGUAGCUGGUCUGAGAGGACGAUCAGCCACACUGGAACUGAGACACGGUCCAGACUCCUACGGGAGGCAGCAGUGGGGAAUUUUGCGCAAUGGGCGAAAGCCUGACGCAGCAACGCCGCGUGUGUGAUGAAGGUCUUCGGAUUGUAAAGCACUUUCGACCGGGACGAAAACCCCUUGGCUAACACUCAAGGGCUUGACGGUACCGGGAGAAGAAGCACCGGCUAACUCUGUGCCAGCCGCCGCGGUAAUAC